UGGGUACGCCCUCAAAGACGAGGGUGGGGAGCGCCGAGUCAGAAGAGAGCUAAAAUGGCGGAGGUUGGGAGUCCCUGCUUUGACUCUGUUUGCAAACUCUUGUUUCAUUGUUUAAGCGAUUAAAUCUCUCGAGUAGACGCUGUCUCUUUAGAUGCGAGGGAAAAAUAGCACUUUAUGGACUUACACAGAGGACAUCAUGUUUAAUACGGUUCCGGAAAAAUCCAGUCAGAAGUUGUUCACGGAGUUUUCACAAUAACUGCUUCUCAUGAACCGAAGCUGGACGUCUCCUUCUGAAAGUUGGAUUACUGUGCACUUCUGGAUCACAGGCUAUUCGCAGCUGGACACAUCCUUCUACACUGUAUGCAAACAUGCAACAUCAUAACACACAGUACAAGGAGUCAGACUGGCAUAUGAGGAGCAAAGGAACCCAGACAGUAGCAUCGUUUCACAAUGUUUCCAUCACCAUCAUCAGUGGAUGCCUUUGCCGUCCGUAGCCUGAGAUUUCAGAUUUGCAGCAAAAAAAAUUGAUUUUCUCAUUUAUUGGAAUGCUAUGCAGGUUGUACCUUGCAGCCAUCCAUUACAAUGUCACCAAGCCGUAACAAAAGCAGGAGAGGGAAAGUACAAGGCUAUGUUCCCAAAACACACAAAUGACAUACCUUAUGUGGAUGAUGUGAUCAGGCUUGUGUUUGCUGAGGUAUUUGAAGAUAAGCUGAAGGAAACCCCGAUUCCAAUGGACCUGGCAUCACAGUUUGAGAGACCUUCAAAGGAGGACGUGAUUGCAUGCCAUCUUCAGUGCAG